GGAGGUGAUCCAGCCGCAGGUUCUCCUACGGCUACCUUGUUACGACUUCACCCCAAUCACUAAUCCCACCUUCGGCCGCUGGCUCCUUACGGUUACCUCACGGACUUCGGGUGUUACCAGCUCUCAUGGUGUGACGGGCGGUGUGUACAAGGCCCGGGAACGUAUUCACCGCGACAUUCUGAUUCGCGAUUACUAGCAACUCCAGCUUCAUGUAGGCGAGUUGCAGCCUACAAUCCGAACUGAGAUAGGUUUUAUAAGUUUUGCUCCACCUCACGGUCUUGCGUCUUAUUGUACCUACCAUUGUAGCACGUGUGUAGCCCUGGACAUAAGGGGCAUGAUGAUUUGACGUCAUCCCCACCUUCCUCCUGGUUACCCAGGCAGUCUCAUUAGAGUGCUCAACUUAAUGGUAGCAACUAAUAACAAGGGUUGCGCUCGUUGCAGGACUUAACCUAACAUCUCACGACACGAGCUGACGACAACCAUGCACCACCUGUCUCCUUGCCCCGAAGGGCUUCACCUAUCUCUAGGCUAUGCAAGGGAUGUCAAGUCCAGGUAAGGUUCUUCGCGUUGCUUCGAAUUAAACCACAUGCUCCGCUGCUUGUGCGGGCCCCCGUCAAUUCCUUUGAGUUUUAAUCUUGCGACCGUACUCCCCAGGCGGGAUACUUAUUGUGUUAACUGCGGCACAGGGGGAGUUGAUACCCCCUACACCUAGUAUCCAUCGUUUACGGCGUGGACUACCAGGGUAUCUAAUCCUGUUUGCUACCCACGCUUUCGUGCCUCAGCGUCAGUUACAGUCCAGAAAGCCGCCUUCGCCACUGGUGUUCUUCCUAAUCUCUACGCAUUUCACCGCUACACUAGGAAUUCCGCUUUCCUCUCCUGCACUCUAGAUAUCCAGUUUGGAAUGCAGCCCCCAGGUUAAGCCCGGGGAUUUCACAUCCCACUUAAACAUCCGCCUACGCACCCUUUACGCCCAGUAAAUCCGGACAACGCUCGCCACCUACGUAUUACCGCGGCUGCUGGCACGUAGUUAGCCGUGGCUUCCUCCUCUAGUACCGUCAUUAUCGUCCUAGAAAACAGGGCUUUACAAUCCGAAGACCUUCAUCACCCACGCGGCGUUGCUGCGUCAGGGUUUCCCCCAUUGCGCAAUAUUCCCCACUGCUGCCUCCCGUAGGAGUCUGGACCGUGUCUCAGUUCCAAUGUGGCCGAUCACCCUCUCAGGUCGGCUACGCAUCGUUGCCUUGGUAAGCCGUUACCUUACCAACUAGCUAAUGCGCCGCGGGUCCAUCUCAAAGCAAUAAAUCUUUGAUAAGAAAAUCAUGCGAUUCUCUUAUAUUAUGCGGUAUUAAUCUUCCUUUCGGAAGGCUAUCCCCCACUUUGAGGCAGGUUACCCACGUGUUACUCACCCGUCCGCCGCUAAUCCACUUCCCGAAGGAAGCUUCAUCGCUCGACUUGCAUGUGUUAAGCACGCCGCCAGCGUUCGUCCUGAGCCAGGAUCAAACUCU
rnacentral:rRNA from 1 species